UGCCUGUAGGUGUAGAAGGCCAGGGGGUGGCUGGGCUCCUUCUUCCCCCCCCUCCGGGGGGAGAGGGGAGCCCUGCGGCCCCCAACUCUGCCAAGGCCAGAGUUAGAGACAGCAUUGGACAGCCUACAGAACUGAGAUAUGAGACCAAGAGUGAGAGAUCACAAAGCAGAAAUGACACAGGACCGAGGAGAAAGGACUCAGAGCUACCUUCUUGGACUUCGUGAGGAAGGAAGGACUUCCACAAACAGCUGGAGCUUGGUGAGGGGGGAGCUCUGAAGAGCAC